UAUGUCUUCGGUAGUGGGACCCGGCUCACUGUUCUAGGUCAGCCUAAGGCUGAGACCUUACUCACCCUGUUCUCACCCUCCUCUGAGGAGCUCCAGAGCAACAAGGCCACCUUGGUGUGUCUGAUGAGCGACUUCUACCCAGGUGUUGUGACCGUGGACUGGAAGAGAGAUGGCGCCAUGGACACCCAGGGUGUGCAGACCACUCAGCCCUCCAAACAGACCAACAAUAAGUACAUGGCCAGCAGCUACCUGACUGGGACAGCAGAUGAGUGGAUCUCAUGAGACACAGACCUGCCAGGUCACUCAUGAAGGGAGCACCAUGGAGAAGAGUGUGUCCUUGGAACAGUGUUCCUAG